AUGGAGGCCGCGGCGGCCACGGGGCUCCGCCCCUUCGCCGCGCCGCUCGGGGCAGCGACGAGGGCGGGCGCGGGCUGGCGGUGCGCGCCGGGCCAGCGGCGGCUUGGGCGGGGCGCGCGCGUGGCGGCGAGGCUGGACGGGGGCGUGGGGAAGGGGGUGCCCACCACCAACUACGUCGUGCCGCUCGACAAGGCCACCGGGAUGACCCGCCCGCUCGUCGAGAUCCUCAGGGACCUCAACAAGCGCGUCCCCGACAAGAUCAUCGACCCCGACACCAACACCGUCCCCUGGUACCAUGCCAACAGAAUGCUGAGCUUCUAUGCACCAGGUUGGUGUGGUGAAGUUCGUGAUGUUAUUUAUUCCAACAGUGGAACUGUGACCGUGGUCUAUCGAGUGAUUCUGAAAGGAACAGAUGGAGAGGCUUUCAGAGACGCCACAGGCACGGCAAAGGUGCACGAGGGACGCAACGAUGACGCUGUCGCGGCUGCGGAGGAGGCAGCAUUCAGCAAGGCCUGCGCACGGUUUGGUUUCGGCCUGUACCUGUACCACCAGGAUGAGAUCCCGUAG
rnacentral:rRNA from 1 species